AAGUCGUAACAAGGUUUCCGUAGGUGAACCUGCGGAAGGAUCAUUAGAAGGCCUCCUUCACGGGAGGGUUAGGGGCCUUGGCCCCUCGCAGCCGUCCCUCUGGCCGUCAAAAGCCUUAGGUUCGCACGCGUUAUUCUUAAACCAAUUGUGAAAACCUGUUGCUUUGGCGGCAGCCUGCUCGCAGGCGUCAGCCCGUCCGAAGCCCACACAAAACUCUUUCUGUAAACAGUAUUCUGAAAACACAAGUAAAUCGUUAAAA
rnacentral:misc_RNA from 1 species